GUGCCAGCCGCCGCGGUAAUACGGAGGAUGCAAGCGUUAUCCGGAAUGAUUGGGCGUAAAGCGUCCGCAGGUGGCGAUGUAAGUCUGCUGUUAAAGAGUGAGGCUCAACCUCAUAAGAGCAGUGGAAACUACAUAGCUAGAGUACGUUCGGGGCAGAGGGAAUUCCUGGUGUAGCGGUGAAAUGCGUAGAGAUCAGGAAGAACACCAGUGGCGAAGGCGCUCUGCUAGGCCGUAACUGACACUGAGGGACGAAAGCUAGGGGAGCGAAUGGGAUUAGAUACCCCAGUAGUCCUAGCCGUAAACGAUGGAUACUAGGCGUGGCUUGUAUCGACCCGAGCCGUGCCGUAGCUAACGCGUUAAGUAUCCCGCCUGGGGAGUACGCCGCAACGGUGAAACUCAAAGGAAUUGACGGGGGCCCGCACAAGCGGUGGAGUAUGUGGUUUAAUUCGAUGCAACGCGAAGAACCUUACCAAGGCUUGACAUGUCGCGAAUCUUCUUGAAAGGGAAGAGUGCCUUCGGGAGCGCGAACACAGAUGGUGCACGGCUGUCGUCAGCUCGUGUCGUGAGAUGUUGGGUUAAGUCCCGCAACGAGCGCAACCCUCGUUUUUAGUUGCCAGCAUUAAGUUGGGCACUCUAGAGAGACUGCCGGUGACAAACCGGAGGAAGGUGGGGAUGACGUCAAGUCAGCAUGCCCCUUACGCCUUGGGCUACACACGUACUACAAUGCUCCGGACAGAGGGCAGCAAGCAUGCGAAUGCAAGCAAAUCCCGUAAACCGGAGCUCAGUUCAGAUCGCAGGCUGCAACUCGCCUGCGUGAAGGAGGAAUCGCUAGUAAUUGCAGGUCAGCAUACUGCAGUGAAUUCGUUCCCGGGCCUUGUACACACCGCCCGUCACACCAUGGAAGCUGGUAGUGCCCGAAGUCAUUACUCCAACCUUUCGGGGGGGAGGAUGCCUAAGGCAGGACUGGUGACUGGGGUGAAGUCGUAACAAGGUAACC
rnacentral:rRNA from 1 species